rnacentral:rRNA from 1 species
ACACCUGCCUCAGCGUCGGUG